rnacentral:misc_RNA from 1 species
UCCAUUGUCAAUUAGCUCUCUAGUUGGUAAGCAGCUCAGCAGUCUUCUUCAUCUCUUGUGCUAUAAUGUUGAACAAAAAAAUUAUCAAUACAUCAUUGAUUGAAAAUUUCACAGCCAUGCACGCCAAGCCAAAGGAAUCCAUUGAUCUACCUGCCAACUUGUCCCAUUGAGCAAGCAUUCAAUCUCAGAUUCCCCCUUUCUCUCUCUAAUAAAUUUGAACUUUUCUAUUUAGAAUAAAUUAACAUAAUAAGGUAGAUGAGUACCAGUUUUUCAUUAAGAAAAAAAAUAUAUACUACUGCCUCUCUCUAGAUAUACAAAAGA